AGAUUGAACGCUGGCGGCAUGCCUUACACAUGCAAGUCGAACGGCAGCGCGGGGCAACCUGGCGGCGAGUGGCGAACGGGUGAGUAAUAUAUCGGAACGUACCCUGGAGUGGGGGAUAACGUAGCGAAAGUUACGCUAAUACCGCAUACGAUCUAAGGAUGAAAGGUGGGGGAUUCGCAAGAACCUCAUGCUCCUGGAGCGGCCGAUAUCUGAUUAGCGUUAGUUGGUAGGGGUAAAGGCCUACCGAAGGCAUCGAUCAGUAGCUGGUCUGAGAGGGACGACCAGCCACACUGGAACUGAGACACGGUCCAGACUUCCGUACGGGAGGCAGCGAGGUGGGUAAGUUUUGGAACUAAGUAGGGGACGAAAGGCCUAGAC
rnacentral:rRNA from 1 species